rnacentral:rRNA from 1 species
UACGGGAUGCAGCAGUGGGGAAUAUUGCACAAUGGGCGCAAGCCUGAUGCAGCCAUGCCGCGUGUAUGAAAAAGGCCUUCGGGUUGUAAAGUACUUUCAGUCGUGAGGAAGGUGUUAAGGUUAAUAACCUUAGCAAUUGACGUUAGCGACAGAAGAAGCACCGGCUAACUCCGUGCCAGCAGCCGCGGUAAUACGGAGGGUGCGAGCGUUAAUCGGAAUUACUGGGCGUAAAGGGCACGCAGGCGGUUAAUUAAGUUGGAUGUGAAAUCCCCGGGCUUAACCUGGGAAUGGCAUUCAAGACUGGUUAGCUAGAGUCUUGUAGAGGGGGUAGAAUUCCAUGUGUAGCGGUGAAAUGCGUAGAGAUGUGGAGGAAUACCGGGUGGCGAAGGCGGCCUCCUGGGACAAAGACUGACGCUCAUGUGCGAAAGCGUGGGGAGCAAACAGGAUUAGAUACC